GCUGGGAGGGAGAGAUACCCAAGACUGCCAGGCUGGAGCCGGGCAGCCGUCCCAGCUGUGCGUGCAACUGUGGCUUGGCUGGAUUUAUGAGCCAAAGGUCGCAGUAGCCCUAUUUUUGGAAUAGCAGGAAAAAACAGCUGCUUCAAAGUCUCAAAAUGGUAACUUUCCACCAGAGUGGCCUGGUCGCUAGAUCUCCCUGAAGACUCACUAAAAGUACCGCCUCAAACCUCCGCGAGGCCACCACCUUCUCGCCGCUUGGAAACCAGAACCCCGUCCAGACACAGCUGAUGGGCGGCCGCAGCCUUCACUCCAUCUCCCUCCCAGCUGCUGCUCAGAAGGACAGGCCCCGAGAAGCGCCCGGGAAGCUCUGAGCUCCUGCCUGGGGGCCAGGGUCCCCGCAGGAAAGGCAAGGAGCCCCUCCCUCGCUCUGUUCCGAGUGUCCAGUGGGAAGGUCUGGAGCUCAGUGUGGGGUCACUGCCAAAAACAACUCCCAGAGACGCACCAGGCCAUCCUCGGGGACCAGACUUCCCCUGGGGGAGAGGAGCCCCUGGUGGCCAGCUCACUCGCCCUGCGAGCACAGGCCCAGCCGCCCGAGGUUGGACGUGACCUGUGCUUCUGCUUCAGAAAUGCCUGUGGCUCCGACUCCGCUCCAGUCGGGAUGUUUACUAUUUAACUAAUAUUGGUGUCUUAAACUGCCAUUUUGGCCACUUCAGCUCCCGGAACAUACCCGAGAGAAUUUUGCGGGGCGGUUUGGGAAAGAAUGCCUGCUUGCUGUCCGUCUGCUGCAAACGGCAGCUCGUCUCUAAAACAGCGACUGGCCCACAGAAGGUGCUCGGCACCAGUGACCACCCGGCCAUUGGAAGAGGGACAAGCCCUCAGGUCACUCACAGGGGGAGGGGGCCACGGAACAGUUGCCGUCGGAGGUGAGGCUGGGAGACAUGGCACCAGAUUCCAGCAGCUCCCCUGCCCGGAUGGUUCAACUGAGGAGCAAGGGCCACAGGGAGCCCUGAGCCCUAGGCUGAGCCCUGGUCCCAGGUCUGAGCCCUGAUCCCAGGUUGAAAGCAGCCUUGGGGGCUGGGGCUGGGGCUCAGUGGCAGACCACUUGCCUGGCACAUGUGAGGCACUGGGUUCAGUCCUCAGCACCCCAUAAAAAUAAAUAAAAGUAUUGAAAGCAGCCUUGGUUCUACCCCGGAGUCUGG
rnacentral:lncRNA from 1 species